rnacentral:tRNA from 1 species
GGGACUGUAGCUCAGUGGUAGAAUACUUGCCUAGAAUGCAUGAGGCCCUGGGUUCAGUCCCCAGCAUUACCA